rnacentral:rRNA from 1 species
GGGUUGUGAGGUUAAGCGACUAAGCGUACACGGUGGAUGCCCUGGCAGUCAGAGGCGAUGAAGGACGUGCUAAUCUGCGAUAAGCGCCGGUAAGGUGAUAUGAACCGUUAUAACCGGCGAUUUCCGAAUGGGGAAACCCAGUGUGACUCGUCACACUAUCAUUAACUGAAUCCAUAGGUUAAUGAGGCGAACCGGGGGAACUGAAACAUCUAAGUACCCCGAGGAAAAGAAAUCAACCGAGAUUCCCCCAGUAGCAGCGAGCGAACGGGGAGGAGCCCAGAGCCUGAAUCAGCAUGUGUGUUAGUGGAAGCGUCUGGAAAGGCGCGCGAUACAGGGUGACAGCCCCGUACACAAAAGCGCAUGUGUUGUGAGCUCGAUGAGUAGGGCGGGACACGUGGUAUCCUGUCUGAAUAUGGGGGGACCAUCCUCCAAGGCUAAAUACUCCUGACUGACCGAUAGUGAACCAGUACCGUGAGGGAAAGGCGAAAAGAACCCCGGCGAGGGGAGUGAAAAAGAACCUGAAACCGUGUACGUACAAGCAGUGGGAGCCCCACCACUAAGCCAGUGGUGAACUCCACAUACGCAUCCUUUGCUGAAGGUGCGGUUAACGGAGCGCAAGCGACGUUCAACCUCAAAAGAAGCAGAGGGGGCUUAGUGGUGGGGUGACUGCGUACCUUUUGUAUAAUGGGUCAGCGACUUAUAUUCUGUAGCAAGGUUAACCG